GCAACAUAGGAUAUCCGACUAAUGAUUGUAACCACCUAGUCCUUGGCUUAUUGGCACUAGUUGGCACGUCAAUUCAAAAUUCAGCGCCAGUUAGUUGACAAUUGUCGCAAACUGAUAAAGCAACCACAAUCGUCAUAUCUCGAGAAUCUCGAGUGAUAGUUCCAUUACUACGCGUGAAUUAUGUCCCAGUCAGAUGGGAUGGUGCCAACCAACCUGCCAACUAAAGCAACGGUCUCCACCCAUAAAAGGAGGUUCAAAGGGGACUUAUGCUAUUACUCUAUC
rnacentral:lncRNA from 1 species